CAAUAGCGUAUAUUAAAGUUGUUGCAGUUAAAAAGCUCGUAGUUGGAUUUGUGGCGUACGGUGUGUUCCGGGCACUUGUUGUCUGAGUAACCUGCUGUUGCCAUCCUUGGGUGGAACCUGUGUGGCAUUAGGUUGUCGUGCAGGGAAUGCCCAUCAUUUACUGUGAAAAAAUUAGAGUGUUCAAAGCAGGCUUAUGCCGUUGAAUAUAUUAGCAUGGAAUAAUGAGAUAGGACUUUUUUGCUAUUUUGUUGGUUUGCGCAAGAAGGUAAUGAUUAAUAGGGACAGUUGGGGGUAUUCGUAUUCCAUUGUCAGAGGUGAAAUUCUUGGAUUUUUGGAAGACGAACUACUGCGAAAGCAUUUACCAAGGAUGUUUUCAUUAA
rnacentral:rRNA from 1 species